rnacentral:rRNA from 1 species
GAUGAACGCUGGCGGCGUGCCUAAUACAUGCAAGUCGAGCGAACGGACGAGAAGCUUGCUUUUCUGAUGUUAGCGGCGGACGGGUGAGUAACACGUGGAUAACCUACCUAUAAGACUGGGAUAACUUCGGGAAACCGGAGCUAAUACCGGAUAAUAUUUUGAACCGCAUGGUUCAAAAGUGAAAGACGGUCUUGCUGUCACUUAUAGAUGGAUCCGCGCUGCAUUAGCUAGUUGGUAAGGUAACGGCUUACCAUGGCAACGAUGCAUAGCCGACCUGAGAGGGUGAUCGGCCACACUGGAACUGGGACACGGUCCAGACUCCUACGGGAGGCAGCAGUAGGGAAUCUUCCGCAAUGGGCGAAAGCCUGACGGAGCAACGCCGCGUGAGUGAUGAAGGUCUUCGGAUCGUAAAACUCUGUUAUUAGGGAAGAACAUAUGUGUAAGUAACUGUGCACAUCUUGACGGUACCUAAUCAGAAAGCCACGGCUAACUACGUG